GCCGAUACUCAUUUUCCCACAUCUCUACUUGCCUUAUUGAUAAAGCAUUUCUAUCCAAAAAUCCUGCCAGAGCCGCAGGAUAUGUCACAUGGACCAGACAUAGUGCUUGGAAUUAUAUCGCUAGGAGACGCCACCAUAGACUCGUUCAUCAACUUCCCAUGGUUAACAUUUGCUGCACACGCCAUUGAUUCUGAUUCCUGAACAUAGCUCCACAGCACCUGGAGUUAUUUCAACAGUUCUGCAUAUAUUCGUUUAGUAGAUGAUACAUGUAAUUAUCAUACACAUAAUCCAUCUUCAGAUCCCCUUGAAUGAAGCUGAAAGCGGCCUUCCCUAUUAAUUGCUUGUGCCUGAGAAAUGAUAAUCUUGAAAAUCAAUAAUUAGAUCAAUUUUCAGUGAAAAAGAUAACGUACCUGAUGAGUGUGAUUGUUGCCCAUUUCGACUGCAAAACUUAGGAGAAGCGUGUAAAUCGAAUUUAAAUAAGAAAAUUUUCCAGUAUCAUAUAGUUGUUUCAAGAUAAAUCAUAAAUUUAGUAUUGUUUAAUAGUAUAAUUUUUGGUUAGUAAUUUUGGUCAUAAAUUUAAAAUUCUUUAAAAAUUGGGGAAAAGAUGAGUGUCUAAUAAAAAUCAUAAAUGAUGAUGGGCCAUUAUUUAAUUAACCGAGUAGAGAUAGAGUCUAUAAUAGACUCAUUGAUAAACUAAGGAUCUCAGAUUCAACUGCUUAAUACCAAAGUGGCAUUAGGUUAUUUUAAGUGGAAAUUUUUAUUAAUUAUAAUUUUAUAUUUUUAAUUGUAAAAUUUAUUUUAUUAAUAAUUAUUAUUGAAUGAAUUAAUAAAUUUUAAUUUAAUAAU
rnacentral:misc_RNA from 1 species